rnacentral:rRNA from 1 species
GACGAACGCUGGCGGCGUGCUUAACACAUGCAAGUCGAGCGAGGCCCCUCCUUCGGGAGGGUGUCCUAGCGGCGAACGGGUGAGUAACACGUGGGCAACCUGCCCUCAGCUCUGGGAUAACUCCGGGAAACCGGGGCUAAUACCGGAUACGACCUCCACGGGCAUCUGCGGAGGUGGAAAGUUUUUCGGCUGAGGAUGGGCCCGCGGCCUAUCAGCUAGUUGGUGGGGUAGUGGCCCACCAAGGCGACGACGGGUAGCCGGCCUGAGAGGGCGACCGGCCACACUGGGACUGAGACACGGCCCAGACUCCUACGGGAGGCAGCAGUGGGGAAUAUUGCGCAAUGGGCGAAAGCCUGACGCAGCGACGCCGCGUGAGGGACGAAGGCCUUCGGGUUGUAAACCUCUUUCAGCAGGGACGAAGCGAAAGUGACGGUAACUGCAGAAGAAGCACCGGCCAACUACGUG